GACGAACGCUGGCGGCGUGCUUAACACAUGCCAGUCGAACGGAAAGGCCCUGCUAUUGUGGGGUGCUCGAGUGGCGAACGGGUGAGUAACACGUGAGUAACCUGCCCUUGACUUUGGGAUAACUUCAGGAAACUGGGGCUAAUACCGGAUAGGAGCUCCUGCUGCAUGGUGGGGGUUGGAAAGUUUCGGCGGUUGGGGAUGGACUCGCGGCUUAUCAGCUUGUUGGUGGGGUAGUGGCUUACCAAGGCUUUGACGGGUAGCCGGCCUGAGAGGGUGACCGGCCACAUUGGGACUGAGAUACGGCCCAGACUCCUACGGGAGGCAGCAGUGGGGAAUAUUGCACAAUGGGCGGAAGCCUGAUGCAGCAACGCCGCGUGCGGGAUGACGGCCUUCGGGUUGUAAACCGCUUUCGCCUGUGACGAAGCGUGAGUGACGGUAAUGGGUAAAGAAGCACCGGCUAACUACGUG
rnacentral:rRNA from 1 species